AAAAUUUUCUAGGAACGAAAUCGAGUGGGUGGAAGGUCAAAUCCGCGGUAACCAAGAGCUGCUGAUACCAUAUGAUGAGGUCUAAGACCCCGUGUGUGGCCCGAUCUCGCGGAUUGACUUCGAAACCAAGAGGGAAGAUGGGAAAACGCGAGGAACACGAAGAACACGACGAACACGAGGAACUCCGAGACUCACGCACGCACACCAACCCGAUACACCCGAUACUUACCCCCGUGGCUCGAUGGACCACGCCAAUAGAAUCACCCGGAAGAGGCACGCGGCAGAAUUCCCGGUGAGAGAUUGGUGUUGGAGAAGAAGAGAUUGGUGAGGGAGAGAGAGUAGCUUGUACUAGAAUCUCACUCAACAAUAUCCAAAUCAACAACAAGGAUGGCCUUGAUUACAGAGGGAUGAUACCCAAGGGAGACUAAGCUCAAAGGUAGGUUUGAGUUCAAAACAAGUCUAAAGAGGUCUAGGGGCGUCCUGGGGGCUUAUAUAGUCUUACAAGGCGUCAUGGGCCGAAAAGGUACAAGUGAAACGGUUCGGGCCGAAAUAGGUGACUUAAGUCGUGCAGGCCGGUCAGGGGGCCGGUCAGACCGGGCCUGGGACCGGGCAGGCCGGUUCAGACCGGGCCUGGGACCGGGCGGCAACCGGACGAGGUUCCGGGGCCCCUGGAUAGCACCCGGAUGGCACAAGCGCAAAACCCGGUUUGGGACCGGGUGGCCCGGUCAGGAGGCCGGUCAGACCGG